AUGUUACGUGCCUGCCAUCCUUAUCCUAUGCCAGAGGUACAACACCAGUCUCACCCCCAUUCCAGCGUGGAGUUCUCUGAGUUCGGUGGCACUUGGGAUAUUCCACUUCAGUGCCAUGGGAAGAAAAUGACGCUGGCUGGCACUCCACGCCAGUGCACGGCUCCAUGGAAUGCCUGCUGUUGGACACUUGCAGAGCUCUGCCACCAAGCAACCUCCUGCAUUGGAAAUCAGGGGACUACUCCAGGAUCUUAUGCGUGCUUGCUGUUUGAAGCUGCAGAAAAGUGAAUAAUCAAUUAAGUAUUGAUUUCUUGUAAGAUUUGGUAAAUUUCAAAGGCAAGACAAAGAGGAUGGCUUAAGGAAACACUGCAGGGACUUGGCGUAAAUUAGACAACUAACGGAAGCGCAGAAUAAAAUAACACCUCAACUGAAGAUUUCCUUGGAAGAAUUAGCACUAGCUAUUGGAAGACAAUGGUGGAUUUAAUCAAAACAGCAGGCAUGCAAGAAUUUUACCCGUGAACCAGAAAAAGGAGCUAAUUAUAACCACCUUUUUAAUGGAGCUAAUUUGACUGAAUGGAUGCAAAUGUGCUUUAUUUAUGGAUGAAGAAGCAAGCCUUACUGCAUGAUCUUGGGAUCAUCGGAUCUGCUAAGCUUUGCAGCUCCUGUUACCUUCAGUACACUUUUUAUUUCCAGAGAAGGUAUUUAUAUGCAAACAACAGCUAACCAUGCAAAAGAUUCAUCGGAACAAUAUACUGUGGUAUAUGAGAUAUAAUCAUUAUUUUGCAGCCUCUUCAGGAUUUCCUCUAACUUGGAGGUUUUGCAACCUUUGUGUGCAAUGGGUUAUGGUAAACAAUAAAUGAAUGAUGUUAAAGUGUUGUGAUUUUUCAAUGUGUAGUUUAUUAAUUUUAGCUUUCUUAAUGUGUUGAUUCUGAAUUAUUUGCAAUAAAUCCAUAUGAAAGAAAGGGAGUUGUUGGGUGGGUUUUUAAUGCAUUUGCAGUCUUCUCAGAGAUCGGAAUGUGUAGGUCCCACCAGCCCAUGAGCUCUAUAAUUAUAAAAGAAUGGUAAAAAAUUUGACAAUGUGAAGAAUUGGUUUUAUAAUGUGAACAUUGUGUUAUAAUCAGUAAAAGGAGAAUUGUUAUGUUUUCUCUCUGUGUAGAAUGUUCUUGAGUGGUUAACUCCUCUGCUGCUGAUGAGAAGUAAAUACCAUAACUGGCAAUAAGCAGAGAUUGCAAGGACAAUGCUUUGUUCUUAUGUAUCCUCAUAUUUCAAGCUAAAGUGCAUUUUAAGCAUUUCCUUCUAUUUCUAUUAUUGUCCUUUCUAUUUUUGUUCUUUUCAUCAUUUUUUCUGUCUUGCAAUCUACGUUCCCUGAGCAACCAUAGGAACCAAGUUACAUUAAGCUUCAACACAAAGACCUUGUAAGAAUAAUGAAUCCUCAUUUGCAUCGACAUUUGUAUUCAGAUUUGCCAGGCUAUAAACUUGGCAGAUCAAGCGGAAUAUUAAGUAGAGGCUUCCAUGGUAAAUUGUGGCUCUUGAAAUUGCUAACUACCCCCUCCCCCUUUUUUUCUAUCUGGGUUGGCAGGUGAAGUCUCAUGACUACUUGCUUCUUAAGAAGCGUAUUGGCUCCUUCAUCUUUCAUUAUAUGAUGUCAGUCUCAAGCAGAAGAGGGGAAAAGCCAGUAGUAAGUGUUCUAGUUGAAGGUACAAAAUGACAUGUGACUGGAGCAUUAAUUCUAGAGGCCAUAUAUUGUAAGAGGUGUCUUUAAGUAGUUGAAGUUGUAAGAAAAUUAAUUAUCAUGUGUGGGCUAAGGUUUGAUCUUCCUGGUAUGUUCAAAGUACAUUAACCACAUGAAAGUUCACACUCAUUUUGUAAAGCUUCUAAAGGUUGGAGGAGGACCAAGGUAGCUCUUUCCUCACAAAAUAAUUCAGUUACACCAUUCUGAGUCAUCCUCACCUAUCUACUCAUGCCCAAUCUUGAAAUAUUUUAAAUGCCUUAUUCUAAUAAGUCUCUGUGGAUUGACUGACUUAAUCCUUAGUUUCAUUUGAUUCUGAAAUGGUAUAAUAGGAAUAGUUAUACAAGCUGCAAGCAAACCUAUGAAUUCAGCAAUAUGACCUAUAAGGUCAUUUCUACAACACAGCCAACAAUGGGGUGAAAAAUGUAGACUUUAAUCUCCAUGCUUGGUCCACUCUAUGUGAUGCCAAACAAGUGAGUAAUUGGAAACAUUUGUGCAUGACUUAAUUUUUCAUGCAUCAUCCCAGUGUUUCAGAUUUCUGUAAAAAGAGCCUACAUCUAUGACCUAUUAACAAACUCUCACUUCUUGCCAUCCCUUUUUCUCUCAAGAACUUUUCACUAGUGGGGAACAAUAAAACAUAUUUGAAGACUGGCCUUCUAACAAACUUACCAUGGACAUUUAAUGGUGGCUUUCCUUUCUAUUCUGGUUUUUAAAUAUAAAUAGAGUAAAUAAUAAAAUGUAGACUGAAUUUACCAUAAAGACAUUUUCUUGUGGAAUAUUGCAAGAAACUGUGAACUUGUAGUAACUGCUAUAAGCAACUUAUAGGGAAGUCUUACUCUAGGUUGAGGUAAGGUUUCAUUGUAUAUGGAAAAAAUGGGAGAAUGGUCCGUGAAAGAUGCUGGGCUUUUUUUGGAAAACAAACCAGCAAAUAUUUAGACAGAAGAGUCAUGUUUCAUAAGCUUUCAUAAACUUGCAUAAAUAUGUAUAAUAAUCUUUUCAUAGUGUAUACUGAUAUGAUAUUAAUAAAUCACAAUGUAGCACAUUUCAAAGUAGGGUUUUAGCUCUUUUUCUUAGUAACUGAGUUUUAAAUCUGAGAAAUAAAAUGUAAAUUAUGACUUUUUGGGAAACUACAUGCUUGCAUACCACAAUCUAACUUUUAAGAAAAAUAAACGAUUAGAUAAUUUAGUGUUGAUUACCAAUAAACUGAAAAACAAGAAUAUUAUCACUAACUGGCAAUACUGUACUUUUAUAUUUACCUUUUUAUGUGAAAAAGAUGGAAGCACAAUAAUUAACACAAAGGUGCCUUGAUCCAGUAAUAAUAGUAAUUUCUGAUUACUAUCAGAGAGAGAAACAAUAUUUAAGUGGAAUUCUUUUUCUAGGGCCCUAAUGAAAAUACCUGCUAAUAAAGUAUAACCAUCAACUUUAUAACACAGUGCAAGCAAAGAUUAGAGACCGAUAUAUCAGUUUGAAACAAUGUUGUUUAUACAUGUCAAACAAAUACAUGACUGCAUCUUUUUAAACAUAUAUUUGCUGUUUCAUAUGAAUCUGAAAUUUAGGCUUCAAAAUGAUAUUUUUUCUAAUAGGGAAUGUUGACCUCUUUGUUUAAAAAAGAGUAAGAAUACAUUUGGUUAUAUUCAAAGAAAGUAUUUCAAUUGUAAUUCAAAUAAGACUUAGGAAAAGAUUUAUAUGUUUCUUCAGCACUGCCCAUCAAUUUGAAACUGUCUUCUUUAUAAAUGCUAAUGAUUUGGUUGAUUACAUUUCUGCAUGUACUUACCAUGCAGUUUUGGGAAUCAACAUACUGAUGAAUCUCUAUCAAGAAGAGAAAUUAUAGCAUUAGCUCAUUUGCUUUCUAAACAGCAGGAGUGAAAAUUCUAUCCAAAAUAACAUUAAUGAUACUGUUUUAACAUCCGCACAGAAAAGCACGUACAAUUUCUUACUCACCUUCUCAUUGUCGUGUAGAUAUAGUUCAUAUUUAUUGGCUAUUAUUGCUUCCUUCUGUGUAGGAAUACAACUGGGUACAUAUUUUAAACCAGAAAAUAAAAACUAAAACCAAAACAAACAAAAAUGCCUACUUAAAGUUUCUCAUCCAAGUUUGAGAAGGGAGCAAGCAUACUUGUGCUCCUUGCAUUGGGAAAUAGCACGACGACAUGAGCUCAGGGCAAUUUCACUGUGUGAUCUUUCUAUUUAUAUUAGAG
ensembl:lncRNA